rnacentral:rRNA from 1 species
UUGUGCCAGCAGUUGCGGUUAUACAAUUGCAUUAAUUAAGUUUUUUCUUGAAGUAUUAAACUUUAAUUUUUAAUAUAUUUAUAUUUUAUUAGGUGAAAUAAUUAAUAUAUAUAUAUAUUAAUUAUUGUUAUUAUAUGAAUAUUAAUUUUUAAACUAGGAUUAGAUACCCUAUUAUUUUAGUUGUAGUUUCCUUCUUAAGGUGUAUUAGAUAUGGUCUUGAAAUUUAAAGAUUUUGGCGGUAAUUUAUUUUUUCAGAGGAAUCUGUCCUGUGAUCGAUAAUCCACGAUAUAUUUUACUUUCUUUUUUCUUAUAUAUCUCUAUCAUUGAAUAUUCUUGGAAGGUUGAGAUUUUCUUUAAUAUAUAUAUAUUAAAAUGUUAGGUCAAGGUGUAGAAAUAUUUAAGUAGAGAUGGAUUACAUUAUUAAUAUUUAAGGAUUAUUUAUUGAAAUAUUUUUCUUGAAUAUGGAUUUGAUUGUAAAUCUUAUUAUUAUGUAUUUUUGAUAUUAUAUAUGAAUUAUGCACAUAUCGCCCGUCGCUCUCAUUUGUUUUGAGAUAAGUCGUAACAAAGUAGACUCAUUGGAAAAUGAGUCUAGAUUUUU